UACGUAGGGUGCAAGCGUUAAUCGGAAUUACUGGGCGUAAAGCGUGCGUAGGCGGUUCGUUAAGUCUGCUGUGAAAGCCCCCGGGCUCAACCUGGGAAUGGCAGUGGAUACUGGCGAGCUAGAGUGUGAUAGAGGAUGGUGGAAUUCCCGGUGUAGCGGUGAAAAUGCGUAGAUAUCGUGAGGAAUACCAGAGGCGAAGGCGGCUACCUGGACAAUUUGCUGACGCUCAGGCAACGAAAAGCGUGGGGGGAUCAAAACAGG
rnacentral:rRNA from 1 species